rnacentral:rRNA from 2 species
UUAAACUGAAGAGUUUGAUCAUGGCUCAGAUUGAACGCUGGCGGCAGGCCUAACACAUGCAAGUCGAGCGGUAACAGGGGUAGCUUGCUACCCGCUGACGAGCGGCGGACGGGUGAGUAAUGCAUAGGAAUCUGCCCGAUAGUGGGGGAUAACCUGGGGAAACCCAGGCUAAUACCGCAUACGUCCUACGGGAGAAAGGGGGCUUCGGCUCCCGCUAUUGGAUGAGCCUAUGUCGGAUUAGCUAGUUGGUGAGGUAAUGGCUCACCAAGGCAACGAUCCGUAGCUGGUCUGAGAGGAUGAUCAGCCACAUCGGGACUGAGACACGGCCCGAACUCCUACGGGAGGCAGCAGUGGGGAAUAUUGGACAAUGGGCGAAAGCCUGAUCCAGCCAUGCCGCGUGU